GACGAACGCUGGCGGCGUGCUUAACACAUGCAAGUCGAACGGAAAGGCCCUGCUUUUGUGGGGUGCUCGAGUGGCGAACGGGUGAGUAACACGUGAGUAACCUGCCCUUGACUUUGGGAUAACUUCAGGAAACUGGGGCUAAUACCGGAUAGGAGCUCCUGCUGCAUGGUGGGGGUUGGAAAGUUUCGGCGGUUGGGGAUGGACUCGCGGCUUAUCAGCUUGUUGGUGGGGUAGUGGCUUACCAAGGCUUUGACGGGUAGCCGGCCUGAGAGGGUGACCGGCCACAUGGGGACGGAGAUACGGCCCAGACUCCUACGGGAGGCAGAAGUGGGGAAUAUUGCACAAUGGGCGGAAGCCGGAUGCAGCAACGCCGCGUGCGGGAGGACGGCCUUCGGGUUGUAAACCGCUUUCGCCUGUGACGAAGCGUGAGUGAGGGUAAUGGGUAAGGAAGCACCGGCAAACUACGU
rnacentral:rRNA from 1 species